rnacentral:rRNA from 1 species
ACCUACGGGACGCAGCAGUGAGGAAUAUUGGUCAAUGGGCGCGAGCCUGAACCAGCCAAGUCGCGUGAGGGAAGACGGUCCUAUGGAUUGUAAACCUCUUUUGUCGGGGAGCAAAAGACGCCACGUGUGGCGUUCCGAGAGUAUCCGAAGAAAAAGCAUCGGCUAACUCCGUGCCAGCAGCCGCGGUAAUACGGAGGAUGCGAGCGUUAUCCGGAUUUAUUGGGUUUAAAGGGUGCGCAGGCGGAAGAUCAAGUCAGCGGUAAAAUUGAGAGGCUCAACCUCUUCGAUCCGUUGAAACUGGUUUU